UAUCUCUCUGUACAGGGAAGGAUGAGAAGCUUCGAUUAAGGUUCGAUUCGAGCGCAGCGAGAAAGCGUUGCCGCAGGCAACGACCCGAAGGGGGAGAAGCUUGAGCGACGAAUAAUCCUUCCCCCACCACCA
rnacentral:sRNA from 3 species